rnacentral:rRNA from 1 species
UCGAGAAUCUUUCGCAAUGGGCGCAAGCCUGACGAAGCGACGCCGUGUGAGCGAAGAAGGCCUUCGGGUUGUAAAGCUCUUUCGCUAGGGAACAAGGAAGGUAGGAUAACACCCUGCCGACUUGAGGGUACUUGGUAAAGAAGCACCGGCUAACUCCGUGCCAGCAGCUGCGGUAAUACGGAGGGUGCAAGCAUUGAUCGGAAUUACUGGGCGUAAAGGGCGCGUAGGCGGCUGAGAAAGUCAGAUGUGA